AGGACGAACGCUGGCGGCGUGCUUAACACAUGCAAGUCGAGCGGAAAGGCCCUUCGGGGUACUCGAGCGGCGAACGGGUGAGUAACACGUGGGCAACCUGCCCCUAGCUCUGGGAUAACUCCGGGAAACCGGUGCUAAUACCGGAUACGACCUCAUUAGGCAUCCUUUGAGGUGGAAAGAUUUAUCGGCUAGGGAUGGGCCCGCGGCCUAUCAGCUUGUUGGUGGGGUAACGCCUACCAAGGCGACGACGGGUAG
rnacentral:rRNA from 1 species